ensembl:misc_RNA Metazoa_SRP Metazoan signal recognition particle RNA
GCUGGGCAUUGUGGCGCAUGCCUGUAAUCCCAGCUACUUGGGAGGCUGAGACAGGAGAAUCACUUGAACCUGGGAGGCGGAGGCUGCAGUGAGCUGAGAUGGUGCCACUGCACUCCAGCCUGGGCAACAAAGUGAGACUCAGUCUCAA